rnacentral:rRNA from 1 species
UACGGGGGGGGCGAGCGUUGUUCGGAAUUAUUGGGCGUAAAGGGCGCGUAGGCGGUGCGGUAAGUCUGAUGUGAAACCUCCAGGCUCAACUUGGAGCUUGCAUUAGAAACUGGCAGGCUAGAGUGCGGGAGAGGAGAGUGGAAUUCCUGGUGUAGCGGUGAAAUGCGCAGAUAUCAGGAAGAACACCCGUGGCGAAGGCGGCUCUCUGGAACGCAACUGACGCUGAGACGCGAAAGCGUGGGGAGCAAACAGG